rnacentral:rRNA from 1 species
GACGAACGCUGGCGGCGUGCUUAACACAUGCAAGUCGAACGGAAAGGCCCUUCGUGUGACUCGAGCUCCAAACGCGAGAGUAACACGAACAUGAUCUUCACCUCCCCUUGGCAUAAGGCUGACUAAAUGGGACUAAUACCAAAAAGGACCACGCGCUCCUUGUGCUGUGGGGGAAAGCUUUUGCGGUGGGGGAUGGGCACGCGGCCUAUCAGCUUGUUGGUGGGGUAGUGGCUUACCAAGGCGAUGACGGGUAGCCGGCCUGAGAGGGUGACCGGCCACACUGGGACUGAGAUACGGCCCAGACUCCUACGGGAGGCAGCAGUGGGGAAUAUUGCACAAUGGGCGGAAGCCUGAUGCAGCGACGCCGCGUGCGGGAUGACGGCCUUCGGGUUGUAAACCGCUUUCGACAGGGACGAAGCGUAAGUGACGGUAACUAGAGAAGAAGCACCGGCUAACUACGUG